rnacentral:rRNA from 1 species
GUAGGGAAUAUUGCGCAAUGGGGGAAACCCUGACGCAGCGACGCCGCGUGAGUGAUGAAGGCCUUCGGGUCGUAAAGCUCUGUUGCAGGGGAAUAAAAAAAUGAAGGUACCCUGUGAGGAAGGAUCGGCUAACUUCGUGCCAGCAGCCGCGGUAAGACGAGGGAUCCUAGCGUUGCUCGGAAUCAUUGGGCGUAAAGAGGGCGUAGGUGGCUUGGUAAGUCAGGUGUGAAAGCCCAGGGCUCAACCCUAGAAGUGCAUUUGAUACUGCUGAGCUUGAGUGUCGGAGAGGUUACCGGAAUACCUGGUGUAGUGGUGAAAUACGUAGAUAUCAGGUGGAACACCGGAGGCGAAGGCGGGUAACUGGACGAACACUGACACUGAGGCCCGAAAGCGUGGGGAUCAAACAGGAUUAGAUACCCCUGUAGUCC